UACGUAGGUGGCAAGCGUUAUCCGGAUUUAUUGGGCGUAAAGGGAACGCAGGCGGUCUUUUAAGUCUGAUGUGAAAGCCUUCGGCCUAACCGGAGUAGUGCAUUGGAAACUGGGAGACUUGAGUGCAGAAGAGGCGAGUGGAACUCCAUGUGUAGCGGUGAAAUGCGUAGAUAUAUGGAAGAACACCAGUGGCGAAAGCGGCUCUCUGGUCUGUAACUGACGCUGAGGUUCGAAAGCGUGGGUAGCAAACAGG
rnacentral:rRNA from 1 species